rnacentral:rRNA from 1 species
GAUGAACGCUGGCGGCGUGCCUAACACAUGCAAGUCGAGCGAUUCUCUUCGGAGAAGAGCGGCGGACGGGUGAGUAACGCGUGGGUAACCUGCCCUGUACACACGGAUAACAUACCGAAAGGUAUGCUAAUACGAGAUAACAUGUUUUGAUCGCAUGGUCGAAAUAUCAAAGCUCCGGCGGUACAGGAUGGACCCGCGUCUGAUUAGCUAGUUGGUAAGGUAAUGGCUUACCAAGGCGACGAUCAGUAGCCGACCUGAGAGGGUGAUCGGCCACAUUGGAACUGAGACACGGUCCAAACUCCUACGGGAGCAGCAGUGGGAAUAUUGCACAAUGGGCGAAAGCCUGAUGCAGCAACGCCGCGUGAGCGAUGAAGGCCUUCGGGUCGUAAAGCUCUGUCCUCAAGGAAGAUAAUGACGGUACUUGAGGAGGAAGCCCCGGCUAACUACGUGCCAGCCGCCGCGGUAAU